CGCUGUUGGUAUUUAUGUAUUUACAGUGUUAUUACCUCUUGAUGGGUUGAUCUCUUCAUCAUUACACAAGGACUUUCUUUGUCUCUUGUUACAGACAAAUCUAUUUUGUCUAAGUGUAGGUAUCCCUGCUCUCUUUUAGUUUCUAUUUAUAUAGAAUAUCUUUUUCCAUUUAUUUACUUUCAACUUAUGAAUGUCUUUAAGGUUGAAGUAAAUCUCUUGUAGGCUACAUAUAUCGGAUCUUUUUUUUCUUUUUUUAAUUAUCCAUUAGCCAUUCUAUUCCUUUUGAUUGGAUAAUCUAAUCAAUUUACUUCUAAAGUGAUUAUUGAUAGGUAAGGAUUUAUUGUUGCCAUCUUGUUUUCUGGUUAUUUUGAGGUUCUGUUGUUUCUUCCUCUCCUGCUGUCUUCCUUUGUGAAUUGAUGAUUUUAGCAUAGUUGUAUAUUUUGGUUCCUUUCUCUUUUUCUUUUGUGUAUCUACUAUAGGUUUUUUCUUUGUCAUAAGGCUUACAUAACCAUCUUAUACUUUUAGCUGUCUAUUUAAAGCUGAUAAUAACUUUUUAUUUUGUUGUGCUCUGCGGCAUGUGGGAUCCUAUUAGUUUGAUGCAAACAUAAUCGUGGUUUUGGGCCAUGAACUUUAAAUUGUUAUAAUUAGGCUCUAACACAUCUUUAUUCAUCCAAAUAGGAACCAUUACAAUCAACACAUUUUUUGCGCUUGAGAAAUAAGUUUGUUUAUUCUUGUAUCACAAAAAUUCAUGCCUCAGGAUUUGAUGAACUCUUGGAAAGCAUUUUCUGCCUCCUGCUGGUUGUGGAAGCAUUUUCCUUGCAAGAAGUUGUCAAGGUGUCUGAAGAAGUGGUAGUUGGUUGGCAGGAGGCCAGGUGGAUAUGGCAGAUGAGGCAAAACUUUGUAGCACAAUUUGUUCAACUUUUGAAGCCUUGCUUGUGCGACGUGUGGUUGGGUGUUGUCUUAGAGAAGGCUUGUGCGAUGUGUGGUUGGGUGUUGUCUUGGAGAAGGCUUGUGCGAUGUGUGGUUGGGUGUUGUCUUGGAGGAGAAUUUGGCCCUUUCUGCUGACCAGUGCCGGCUACAGGCGUUGCAGUUUUCAGAGUAUCUCAUUAAUUUGCUUACCCUGCUUCUCAGGUGUAAUGGUUUUGCUGGGAUUCAGAAAACUAGCGGAUCAGACAGGCAGCAGACCAGCAAGCAAUGACUGUGAUCUUUUUUUUUUUUUUAGUGCAAGUUUAACUUUGGGAAGUGCUUUGGAGCUUCUUCUUGGUCCAACCACUGAGCUGGUUGUCACUGGUUGUCAUAUAAAAUCCACUUUUUGUUGCACAAUCCGAUUGAGAAAUGUUUCAUUGUUGUUGUGUAGAAUAGGAGAAGAGGACACUUCAAAAGGAUGGUUAUUUUUUGAUUUUCAGGCAGUUCAUGAGGCACCCACUUGUCGAGGUUUUUUCACCUUUCCAAUUUUCUUCAAAUGCUGAAUGACCAUAUAAUGGUUGACGUUGAGUUCUUUGGUAGUUGUAAGAGGAUCAGCUUCUAUGAUUGCUCUCAGUUGCUUGUUGUCAACUUCCGAUGGCUGGCCGCUGUGCUUCUCAUCUUCAAGGCUCUUGUCUCCUUUACAAAAUUUCUUGAACCACCACUGCACUGUGUGUUUGUUGGCAGUUCCUGGGCCAAAUGUGUUGUUGAUAUGGUGAGUUGUCUCUGCAGGUUUAUGACCCAUUUUGAACUCGAUUCAGAAAAUAGCUUGAAUUUACUUUUUGUCUAACAUUAUUUCCACAGUCUGAAAUACAUGUGAAAUACAUAGCAAGUAAUAAGUCAUUAGCAAAAAAACAUAAAGUAAGAAAUGUGCAUUAAGAUGAUGCAAAAGAUAACCACAUUUAAGAAUGCAUUCCAAUAUCAAACAGCAAAUUCAACAGUGCAAAACCAGUUACUUUUGCACCAAUCUAAUCGUUCCCAGACCAGGAGCUGAACCUGCACCUACUGCUAGUAGUCAUGGGUCUUAACCGUUGGACCUCCAGGGAAGUCCCUACAGCUACUAAUAACUUACCUCUAAUGGAAAACAUAAUCUCUACCCUCUUACUCUUUCCCUCUGAUGUUUUUGAUAUCACAGUUUACCUCUCUUUAUAUUUUGCGUCUAUUAACACAUUGUUGUAGCUGUAGUUAUUUUUAACUGGCACCAAAGAAUCCAGGCCACCCAGAAAUUCAGGCCGCACAGUCUUGGUGUUCCAUGGGGAAACUGGUGCAGAUGAAAUGGAGAGCUAGAUCAGUUUUCACAGGUGAAGUCCCUCCGGGUAUAUUUGUUAGACAUCCAGCUUUCUGUAAUGGAAAGAUGCCCACUUCAAGUGCCUAGUUGCUCAUGUUGAGCUUGCUAAAUUGAUGGAGUGAUUGUUGGAUCUCUGGAAAUAUUGGAGUUGCUUGGCAGGCUUCAGACUGAUGAAAAUUGUCUCCUAGUUUGCUGGUCCAUUGUCAAGCUGGGAACCACUUAGCUCUGAGGGGGCGAGAGGUGAUGUUAGAGUUAGCCAAUAGUCUCCUAUGGUGUCUGUGUAUUUCUUUUUUUUUUUUUAAUUGGAGGAUAAUUGCUUUACAAUGUUCUGUUGAUUUCUGCUGGAUAAUAAUGCAUAUCAGUCAUAAUUAUAAUAUAUCCCUUUGCUCUUGCGCCUCCCACCUCCCAUCCUACCCCUCUAGGUCAUCACAGAGUGCCAGGCUGGCCUCCCUGUGUUCUCUAACAGCUUCCCACUAGCUGCCUGUUUCACACAUGAUAGUGUAGAUAUGCCAAUGCUGCUUUCUCAUUUUGUCCUACCCUCUCCUUCCCCUGCUGUGUUCACAAGUAUUUUAACAAUUUAUUUGAACCAGGGUGAAAGAUCUAGGCCUGUGCUCUCCAACAGAAAUAUAAUGCCAGCAGUGUGUGUGGUUUAUAAUUAUCUGAUGACCUUAUUUAGAAAAGUUAAAAGAUCCAGAGAAAUGAAAAUGCUUGUCUGCACAAAGUCUUGCACAUGAAUGUUCAUAGCAGUUUUACUCAUAAUUGCCAAAACGUGGAAACAAUUCAAGUGUUCAGUAACUGAUGAACAGAAAAACAAAAUGUGGCAUAUCCAUACAAGGGAAUAUUAUUUGACAAUAAAAUUAAAUGAAGUGCUGACACACGCUAUAAAAUGGAUGAAGCUUCAAAACGUGCUGAGUGAAGGGAGCCCGAUGCAAAAGGCCUGGCACCGUAUGAUUGCACGUCUAUGGAAUGUCCAGAACAGGCAGAUUUCUAGAGACCAAAAGUAGACUAGUGGUUGUCGAGGGCUGAGGGAGAAUGGGAAUGGGGAGAGGGGCGACUGCUAAUGGGUCCAGCAUUUCUUUCUGGAGUGGUGAAAAUGUUCUAAAAUUGAUCGUAGUGAUGGGGGCAGAGCUCUAUGAAUAGAUUAAAAACCAACGAGUUGUGUAUUUUAGACGAGUGAGUUGUAUGGCAUGUGAAUUACGUGUUUUAAAAAGUAAAAAGACCGUAACCUUAAGAUUACAGUGGGGAGGGUGGGGAAGGUAUAGGGAAGGAAUUUGGGACUGACAUGUAUAUGCUGCUAUAUUUACAAUGGAUAACCAACUAACCAACAAAGGCCUACACUCUAGCACAGGGAACGCUGCUCAAUAUUAUGUAACAUCCUAAAUGGGAAAAGAAUUUGAAAGAGGAUACAUGUAUAUGCAUGGGCUUCCCAGGUGGCUCAGUGGGUAAAGAAUCUGCCUACAAGGCAGGAGACGCAGGAGACAUGGGUUCAAUCCCUGGGUUGGGAAGAUCCCCUGGGGGAGGGCACAGCAACCCGCUCCAGUGUUCUUGCCUGGAGAAUCCCAUGGACAGAGGAUCCUGGCAGGCUAUAGUCCAUAGGGUCGCAAAGAGUCAGACAAGACUUGAGUGACUAAGCAUGCCUGUGCAAACACACACACACACACACACACACACACACACACAAUGUAUAACUGAAUCACUUUGCUGUACACCUGAAAUGAACACAACAUUGUUAAUCAACUACAUGCCAAUAUAAAAUAAAAAGCUAAAAGAAAUAGGUAAAGUUAAUUUUACUAAUGUAUUUUAGUGGACUCAAAAUAUCCUAAAUAGUAUCAUUUAAAGCUGC
ensembl:lncRNA